GCCAGACCUAGGCAAGAACAUGCGCCUGGGGCUGGAGCUGCAGUCCAGGGGCAUGGCUCCUCUUGGUCUUUAUCCAGGGCAAGUCCUUCCCAAGUACAAAGUAACGUGGACUUGGGUCUGCGAGAAGCCCCAGGCUGCUCCCCAGGACGGCAAAGUUGCUAAGAGACAGAGAAGGGACGCAGGGAAGAAAGGGCUCGCUGUUGCCAACCUCAUGGAUGAAAGCCACCUUCCCGUGCGCGUCUAGAUCGACUAAGUUCCAACCAUUCUAAGGUCUUCCCCUGGUCGUUCUGGAUGACGUCAGCUCCUGGAUUGCUGACUCCUUCUCCACUGCUACCCCUGCCAUGAUCAUCGGAGACUUCAGCAUCCAUGAAGAUCUGUCCAGUUCCUGGCUUCUUAGUUCCAGUGAGCUUUUGCUACAUUCACACAGCCAUUCCCUAGACUCGUCACACCAAGAACCCACUAAGUAGAUUUCCAAAGUCCCACUUUCUGACCACUGCCACCUUCCACAGAGGCAGCUUACUCUGAUGCUCCCUCUCCAUCAAUUCUUCAUUUAA